rnacentral:tRNA from 1 species
GGGGCUAUAGCUCAGUUGGUAGAGCGCCUGCAUGGCAUGCAGGAG